rnacentral:rRNA from 1 species
GACGAACGCUGGCGGCGUGCUUAACACAUGCAAGUCGAACGGAAAGGCCCUGCUUGCAGGGUACUCGAGUGGCGAACGGGUGAGUAACACGUGGGUGAUCUGCCCUGCACUUCGGGAUAAGCCUGGGAAACUGGGUCUAAUACCGGAUAGGAGCCAUUUUUAGUGUGAUGGUUGGAAAGUUUUUUCGGUGUAGGAUGAGCUCGCGGCCUAUCAGCUUGUUGGUGGGGUAAUGGCCUACCAAGGCGGCGACGGGUAGCCGGCCUGAGAGGGUGGACGGCCACAUUGGGACUGAGAUACGGCCCAGACUCCCACGGGAGGCAUCAGUGGGGAAUAUUGCACAAUGGGCGCAAGCCUGAUGCAGCGACGCCGCGUGGGGGAUGACGGCCUUCGGGUUGUAAACUCCUUUCGCUAGGGACGAAGCUUUUUGUGACGGUACCUAGAUAAGAAGCACCGGCUAACUACGUG